ACCUCGGUUUUCCCAUCUAUGAAAUGGGAAUAAACAGUGCCCUUCAAGACUGCAGGCUGUGAUGACUGUUCCCCUUUUGGUAAGUGGCCAGGGAGGCUAGCCCUGGGUUUUCUUCUUCAGCACCGAAGGAAAACGAUGAGAACACUGGCUGAGUGAAUCUCUAGCCUAUUUUAACAGUAGCGGAGGUCUGAGUUAGGAGAAUUGAGGUUUCAAGUACUUGGUGUAAAAAAAUACCAGCAUUUUCCUGACUUCAAAUAUGCAAUCCUUUGGUGAAAUAAUCAUGAAAAGAAAAUUUAAAAUCUCUGAUUGAUUUAAAAUCUCCCAGUUGUUUCUUGAGAAGAUGAAAUGAAAUUCUGAACCCUACAUUUACAUGAAGUUAGCUUUCUGUUAAUCUGCCUCAUUUCCCUGAAAUUUACUUUGCUUGACAUAUUCAUGUUGCCUCUUUCCUGCCUUCCCCUCUCCUCACAUCCCCUGCCCUGCUUUUUCCCUCCUCUCUCCUCCUCCCUCCUCUUUCCAUCCCUUCCCUGUAAUCUUCGGAUUAAGUUUGUGAAGAUGAAAUCCGAUUUGGACACGGAGUUUGGCAGCUCACAUCUGGCCACUAGAGGGCAGAGCGUCUCUGCUGACGCACCCUUGUAGGACAGGCUGAUAGCAGCUGAUUGCUGUAGAAGGGGUAAGUGAGAGGCAGAUGCCUUUGCAGUGUGUUAAGACAUCUCCUCUGGGUCCUUUGAGGAAAGGAAGAAGCCACGGAGGAUCGAAGUAGCUCUCCCGGCUGGAGACUGCAGGUCCCGAGAGGAGGAGCCAUGAGGACAGCUGCAGGAGCAUUCCUUGUGCUCAUGUGGUUGCACUGUGUGAGUGGAGCAGAGCAGAUGAAGCAGAGUCCUGCUUUCCUGAGUGUCCAGGAGGGAGACGACUGUGUCAUCAACUGCACGUACACAGACAGUACCACCACCACCUUGUACUGGUAUAAGCAAGAACCCGGAGAAGGCCUCCAGUUGUUUAUAACUAUUUUCUCAAGUAUGGACAAGAAAGAAGACAAAGGAUUCACUGUGCUCCUGAACAAGAAGGAGAAGCAGGUCUCGCUGCACAUCUCAGCUGCCCAUGUUGCUGACUCAGCCACCUACUUCUGUGCAGCAAAUGCACAGUGCUCCCCCUGCACCUGCAGCCUGUACUCAAACCUGCAAUGGCUUAGAGACCUCCUUUUUUUUUUUGGUUUGAUUUUGAGUUAGGGAUUUUCUCCAUAUAUGUUUUAGUAUAUGGAGAUUCUAAACAAAUACUUCAAUAUGGGUAUCUCAAAAUUGAACAUUUGAGAUGAAUCUGGCUGGUUGUGAGGCCAUCAGUCAAUAAAUAACAUAGUGUGGUUCUGACAAUGACUGCUUCACAUGAUGAUGUAAAUAUCAGAUAAAUUGCAUUAUCAUUACCAUAAGCUAUCUUCACUAUACCAUUCUAGCAAUGUGAAGACUUUGCGAUUUCUUUCUCACUAUUUUGAUAUCUUCUAUCCAAUCUUUCUCUAUUACCCCUUUACCCAUCUCUCAAGCCUUAACAAUUACUAUUCUGAAAACAGAUACAAUAUUUUUCUUUUAUUUUAUGUCAAGUUUUAUUUAUUUGAAAAGCAUUACAGAGGG